GUGCCAGCAGCCGCGGUAAUACGUAGGUGGCAAGCGUUGUCCGGAUUUACUGGGCGUAAAGGGAGCGUAGGUGGAUAUUUAAGUGGGAUGUGGAAUACCCGGGCUUAACCUGGGUGCUGCAUUCCAAACUGGAUAUCUAGAGUGCAGGAGAGGAAAGGAGAAUUCCUAGUGUAGCGGUGAAAUGCGUAGAGCUUAGGAGGAAUACCAGUGGCGAAGGAGCCUUUCUGGACUGUAACUGACACUGAGG
rnacentral:rRNA from 1 species